CAGCGCAGCUUAGACGCUAUUUUACAACGCUUUUUUUCAUAUAUUUUCAAAGCGGUGAGGCAGUCGACGUUGAAGCGCUCACCAGUUAACUUGUUUUGCUUUUUAAUUGCUUUCUACGUGAAAAGAGCGGUUACAAAUAUCUACAUACUUG